GACGAACGCUGGCGGCGUGCUUAACACAUGCAAGUCGAACGGAAAGGCCUCUUUCGGGGGGUACUCGAGUGGCGAACGGGUGAGUAACACGUGAGUAACCUGCCCUUGACUUUGGGAUAACUUCAGGAAACUGGGGCUAAUACCGGAUAGGAGCUCCUGCUGCAUGGUGGGGGUUGGAAAGUUUCGGCGGUUGGGGAUGGACUCGCGGCUUAUCAGCUUGUUGGUGGGGUAGUGGCUUACCAGGGCUUUGCCGGGUAGCCGGCCUGAGAGGGUGACCGGCCACAUUGGGACUGAGAUACGGCCCAGACUCCUACGGGAGGCAGCAGUGGGGAAUAUUGCACAAUGGGUGGAAGCCUGAUGCAGCAACGCCGUGUGCGGGAUGACGGCCUUCGGGUUGUAAACCGCUUUCGCUCAUGACGAAGCUUUGUGUGACGGUAGUGGGUAAAGAAGCACCGGCUAACUACGUG
rnacentral:rRNA from 1 species